UAACACGUAGGAGGCAAACGUUAUCCGGAUUUACUGGGCGUAAAGCGCGUGUAGGUGGUACUGUAAGUAGGGCGUGAAAGCUCCUGGCUCAACUGGGAGAGGCCGUUCUAAACUGCAGCACUCGAGUUUGGUAGAGGAAGAUGGAAUUCCAGGUGUAGCGGUAAAAUGCGCAGAUAUCUGGAGGAACACCAGUGGCGAAAGCGGUCUUCUAGACCAAUACUGACACUCAGACGCGAAAGCUAGGGUAGCAAACGGG
rnacentral:rRNA from 1 species